GGUUAAGCGACUAAGCGUACACGGUGGAUGCCCUGGCAGUCAGAGGCGAUGAAGGACGUGCUAAUCUGCGAAAAGCGUCGGUAAGGUGAUAUGAACCGUUAUAACCGGCGAUGUCCGAAUGGGGAAACCCAGUGUGAUUCGUCACACUAUCGUUAACUGAAUACAUAGGUUAACGAGGCGAACCGGGGGAACUGAAACAUCUAAGUACCCCGAGGAAAAGAAAUCAACCGAGAUUCCCCCAGUAGCGGCGAGCGAACGGGGAGCAGCCCAGAGUCUGAAUCAGCUUGUGUGUUAGUGGAACGGUCUGGAAAGUCCGACGGUACAGGGUGAUAGUCCCGUACACCAAAAUGCACAGGUUGUGAACUCGAAGAGUAGGGCGGGACACGUGGUAUCCUGUCUGAAUAUGGGGGGACCAUCCUCCAAGGCUAAAUACUCCUGACUGACCGAUAGUGAACCAGUACCGUGAGGGAAAGGCGAAAAGAACCCCGGCGAGGGGAGUGAAAAAGAACCUGAAACCGUGUACGUACAAGCAGUGGGAGCACCUUCGGGUGUGACUGCGUACCUUUUGUAUAAUGGGUCAGCGACUUAUAUUCUGUAGCAAGGUUAACCGUAUAGGGGAGCCGAAGGGAAACCGAGUCUUAACUGGGCGUUAAGUUGCAGGGUAUAGACCCGAAACCCGGUGAUCUAGCCAUGGGCAGGUUGAAGGUUGGGUAACACUAACUGGAGGACCGAACCGACUAAUGUUGAAAAAUUAGCGGAUGACUUGUGGCUGGGGGUGAAAGGCCAAUCAAACCGGGAGAUAGCUGGUUCUCCCCGAAAGCUAUUUAGGUAGCGCCUCGUGAACUCAUCUUCGGGGGUAGAGCACUGUUUCGGCUAGGGGGUCAUCCCGACUUACCAACCCGAUGCAAACUGCGAAUACCGAAGAAUGUUAUCACGGGAGACACACGGCGGGUGCUAACGUCCGUCGUGAAGAGGGAAACAACCCAGACCGCCAGCUAAGGUCCCAAAGUCAUGGUUAAGUGGGAAACGAUGUGGGAAGGCACAGACAGCCAGGAUGUUGGCUUAGAAGCAGCCAUCAUUUAAAGAAAGCGUAAUAGCUCACUGGUCGAGUCGGCCUGCGCGGAAGAUGUAACGGGGCUAAACCAUGCACCGAAGCUGCGGCAGCGACACUAUGUGUUGUUGGGUAGGGGAGCGUUCUGUAAGCCGUUGAAGGUGGCCUGUGAGGGUUGCUGGAGGUAUCAGAAGUGCGAAUGCUGACAUAAGUAACGAUAAUGCGGGUGAAAAACCCGCACGCCGGAAGACCAAGGGUUCCUGUCCAACGUUAAUCGGGGCAGGGUGAGUCGACCCCUAAGGCGAGGCCGAAAGGCGUAGUCGAUGGGAAACAGGUUAAUAUUCCUGUACUUGGUGUUACUGCGAAGGGGGGACGGAGAAGGCUAUGUUAGCCGGGCGACGGUUGUCCCGGUUUAAGCAUGUAGGCGGAGGUUCCAGGUAAAUCCGGUACCUUUUUAACGCUGAGGUGUGAUGACGAGGCACUACGGUGCUGAAGUAACAAAUGCCCUGCUUCCAGGAAAAGCCUCUAAGCAUCAGGUAACACGAAAUCGUACCCCAAACCGACACAGGUGGUCAGGUAGAGAAUACCAAGGCGCUUGAGAGAACUCGGGUGAAGGAACUAGGCAAAAUGGUGCCGUAACUUCGGGAGAAGGCACGCUGAUAUGUAGGUGAAGUGAUUUACUCAUGGAGCUGAAAUCAGUCGAAGAUACCAGCUGGCUGCAACUGUUUAUUAAAAACACAGCACUGUGCAAACACGAAAGUGGACGUAUACGGUGUGACGCCUGCCCGGUGCCGGAAGGUUAAUUGAUGGGGUUAUCCGUAAGGAGAAGCUCUUGAUCGAAGCCCCGGUAAACGGCGGCCGUAACUAUAACGGUCCUAAGGUAGCGAAAUUCCUUGUCGGGUAAGUUCCGACCUGCACGAAUGGCGUAAUGAUGGCCAGGCUGUCUCCACCCGAGACUCAGUGAAAUUGAACUCGCUGUGAAGAUGCAGUGUACCCGCGGCAAGACGGAAAGACCCCGUGAACCUUUACUAUAGCUUGACACUGAACACUGGUCCUUGAUGUGUAGGAUAGGUGGGAGGCUUUGAAGUGUGGACGCCAGUCUGCAUGGAGCCAUCCUUGAAAUACCACCCUUUAAUGGCUGGUGUUCUAACGUGGACCCGUAAUCCGGGUUGCGGACAGUGUCUGGUGGGUAGUUUGACUGGGGCGGUCUCCUCCUAAAGAGUAACGGAGGAGCACGAAGGUUAGCUAAUCCUGGUCGGACAUCAGGAGGUUAGUGCAAAGGCAUAAGCUAGCUUGACUGCGAGAGUGACGGCUCGAGCAGGUGCGAAAGCAGGUCUUAGUGAUCCGGUGGUUCUGAAUGGAAGGGCCAUCGCUCAACGGAUAAAAGGUACUCCGGGGAUAACAGGCUGAUACCGCCCAAGAGUUCAUAUCGACGGCGGUGUUUGGCACCUCGAUGUCGGCUCAUCACAUCCUGGGGCUGAAGUAGGUCCCAAGGGUAUGGCUGUUCGCCAUUUAAAGUGGUACGCGAGCUGGGUUUAGAACGUCGUGAGACAGUUCGGUCCCUAUCUGCCGUGGGCGCUGGAGAAUUGAGGGGGCUGCUCCUAGUACGAGAGGACCGGAGUGGACGCAUCACUGGUGUUCGGGUUGUCAUGCCAAUGGCAUUGCCCGGUAGCUAAAUGCGGAAGAGAUAAGUGCUGAAAGCAUCUAAGCACGAAACUUGCCCCGAGAUGAGUUCUCCCUGAGACUAUAAGUCUCCUGAAGGAACGUUAAAGACGAUGACGUUGAUAGGUCGGGUGUGUAAGUGUAGCGAUACAUUGAGCUAACCGAUACUAAUGAACCGUGAGGCUUAACCUU
rnacentral:rRNA from 1 species